GCUCCAAUAGCGUAUAUUAAAGUUGUUGCAGUUAAAAAGCUCGUAGUUGGAUUUCUGGUUGGCUAGUUUCUGCCUCCUUGUGGAUGCGCAGUGGUAGCCUACCAUCCUUCUGUUAACCAGCAGCUCUUCACGGGGCUACUGCGGGGCUCAGAUAUUUUACCUUGAGAAAAUUAGAGUGUUUCAGGCACUAGCGCCGGAAC
rnacentral:rRNA from 1 species